rnacentral:misc_RNA from 1 species
AGACAAGUAAACGUUGUAUAAAUAUAAGUUGCUCUCAUCUGCAAGGAUAAGAAGAGAACAUCAAACACUCAUGCUGAUUCAUUACAUCCACGUACAAAAUAUGUGUUGUUAAAGAGUUACUGAUUGUGCCAGUCAGUUUGGAAAGAAAGGAUUCCAGGGAAAAGAAAAAGAAAAUUAAAACCAUAUUUCUAUUUGCUUUUUUUAAAAUUCCACAAGUAUUUAUAUAUUCCUUUUCAAAAAUCCAUAAGUAGCUGCGGGAGAAUCCUCUCCAAGUGAGUCGCUUCAAUCUUACUAACUCCCUCUGCUUCAGCAAUUGCAGCAGCACGCUGCACAGCUUCUGAGAUAAAAACUCGGAGAAGUUCACAACUCAGCUUUAGUGCAUUUGAAUUAGCUGCAUAAGAAAAAAAUGAACAGAUAAUGAUAAUCAAACAGAAGGACACUUGUGACACCUCAAUUAUGAUUCAUUUUAAAAUCUAAAUGAAUAAAUGCAUGUGAAAAUUAGGGGAAAAUGCUUGAUAGAAAAGGGUGUACAUAUGUAAAGUAAUGAUGUGAGAUACCAGAAGUGGGACGAAUCUUUUUGGAUGUUCCUACUCCUACCUGCACCAGUACAGGCUGAUGAGACCAAAUAUAUAAUUCAACAAUCAAGAAAGAGGAUUAGUGCAGACAAAAAAACCAGACUACUAUAUUCUGAAAAAUUGCACAUUCCACCAGUUAGUGAUUGAUUAUACAACGCACAAGUUUCUGAGUUACAUACAGGUUCAUUUUCCUUAAUAUUACAUUGUUUCCUGUCAUUUAAAUGGGGAAACAUUGGCAUUCUAUUAAUCACCUACAACUUAAGGAUUAAAAAGGAGAGGUUGCCAGCCAGCAAAUGAGGAAGAUGAAGUAGAAUGAGAAUUCUUUAGAGGUCAAAUCACGGCACACAAUCAGCUGGGAAAAGAUGCAAAUACAAAAUCAAAUUAUUAAACAAAUCAUUUAACAUGGAUAUGUAAAAAGAUGAAACACCAAUAACUUGACAUUCUCCAAAACAACAAACAUGCGCAGACCCACACAGUUACAAUAAUCUAAUGUCUAAAAAAGUGCACUUUUGCAACUUAAUUUAAUUAAAGCUGAAGAUACUACAGCUACAGGAAGGAGUGGGGAAGGUAAAGAAACACCAACGAUGCGUUAGAAGAACAAUAUCUGCCUAUUGCUUGAUCAGAAAACGAAAAGGAAAAAAAUGAAGAAGAAAAAAAAAGGAAAAGUUACAUAGAAGAGAACCAUAGAACAAUCUAUGAACACCCAAUCCACCAUGCAUUAUCGUAUUCAUAGAGUAAUAAGCCCAGGGAGCAACAUCUAAUGAAAGUUUGGUUUUGAGAUUGAGAAUACUAAGGACAAUAAUAGAAAUUGAAAUAUAGCUUCCAUUGUUCACAGAAAGGAUAAUUUGCUGACAUUUGUCCAGAUAUUCAUCAGUAAUCAAUAGUUCCAUACAAUGAGCGUGAGUUGUGAGCUGCAGGAUUGAAAAAUAACUACAUUGUACAGUUACCUAUAGGAUUGAAAAAUAUCUACAUUUUUAAGCAUUCUGGACAGCAAAAUACAGGAAUUAGAAGCACAUUUUCAUAAAGAGUGAAGACUCAUCCAAGGGCAACGAGUUUCAAAGAUUUUAGAGAAGAAAGAAACUUGAAGAGGUGUGAUUCAAGAACAAAUGUAGGAAUCUAAAAGAACAUAGAUUGUGUAGCCAUAUGGAUUCCAAUUAUAUAUUCAUUAAAAAAACAGAUGAUCCAAGUUAAAUCCGAAAGCAAAUUGCAUUCUUGCACAUUCCCACAAUUAGUGAUCCGAUUCCUAUAUUACCAUGGAAACCUCCAAUUAGCAAUUAAUGAAUUAGAACAACAAAUAUGGUUUGAGAAUUGGAGUAUAGAUCUUGAACAUAUGCACCAAAACAAGAUUUAGACCUUAAACAACACAGAAAAAGCAAAACUAUGAGAGCGCAGAAAGUAUAAAAGAGACCUCGCAGUCCACAGCAUCAGCUCCUUCAUUUUUCUCCCGCUCGAGGGCUCUUCUACCCCAAACGAGCUUGAAAAUGGCGCGAAUCAAAUCAGGAUCGAAAGUGUUAUCAUCCAUGUAAGUCCAGCAGUUACUCG